AUGCUUAAGUUUUCUACAAACCCUAAAUCCAUUGUCGCGCCUGCCUACUCUCCACAUAUCCCGAUCCAUGAAAUUGAUUUCACCACUUGAUUAUUUCUCUAUUUCUGAUGCGCAACUGAUCUCCAUGGAUAUACCAAUUUGAUUUUGCAUUCACGAUACGUAAUCCGUAUGUUUCUUCGCCUUGAAUUUUAAGGAUUUUUCGGUUAUCAUGUCGUCAGUUGUAGCAAGAACGCGUCAUCAUCUUCAGCGUUACGAUAACAAUCUUCGCUUCUGUUAGGGGCCUUUGUAUGCGUUAUAGCUGGUGAUUGGAUGUAUACAACAGAGGAGGUGUAAUUGGAACCCUGUGCUUCAUAUGCAGAAUUACUUUUCUUUGACCAAGGUGUUGUACGAGUUGCAACAGGUGAUGUGGAGGCGUCAACGACAAAAUUGUGGUGGAUAGUAGGAUCCGGUGAUGAGUGGAGUGUCCGAGAAAAAAGUGUAAGAGAUCUGGUGGUGUUGGGUCCAGAUGGGUCAGAAUUCAACUAUUGCCAAAUGGGCUAGCAAGUUGUUAAAGAAUGAAAUAUUAGAUUAUGAUGAAAAAGAUGUCACCCUUGUGUUUGAUGUUGCUGCAUCUAUCAUGCAUUCACGACAUGUUAUAUAUUAUUAUGUUUAUUAUUGAUUUGAGAGUUGUAGCUCAGUCAUCAUAUGUUGUUUCAGGCUAUUUGAAAGUGGACUAGCUUAAGUUGGAACUGAUUUUUUUAUCUUCCCUUUAUAGGAUACAUAUAUCAA
rnacentral:lncRNA from 1 species